rnacentral:ncRNA from 2 species
CAAAAGCUUUAGGGGUGUCCCAUUAUUGGGGCUGAGAGUUACCCUCACAACCUGCUCAGGAUAAUGCCUGCGAAGGGAAAAGUAGACAAGUCUUC